rnacentral:rRNA from 1 species
GUGGGGAAUAUUGCACAAUGGACGAAAGUCUGAUGCAGCAACGCCGCGUGGAGGAUGACACAUUUCGGUGCGUAAACUCCUUUUAUAUGGGAAGAUAAUGACGGUACCAUAUGAAUAAGCACCGGCUAACUCCGUGCCAGCAGCCGCGGUAAUACGGAGGGUGCAAGCGUUACUCGGAAUCACUGGGCGUAAAGAGCGUGUAGGCGGAUAUAUAAGUCAGAAGUGAAAUCCAAUAGCUUAACUAUUGAACUGCUUUUGAAACUGUAUAUCUAGAAUGUGGGAGAGGUAGAUGGAAUUUCUGGUGUAGGGGUAAAAUCCGUAGAGAUCAGAAGGAAUACCGAUUGCGAAGGCGAUCUACUGGAACAUUAUUGACGCUGAGACGCGAAAGCGUGGGGAGCAAACAGGAUUAGAAACCCUAGUAGUCC